rnacentral:rRNA from 1 species
AACGAACGCUGGCGGCAUGCCUAACACAUGCAAGUCGAACGAAGGCUUCGGCCUUAGUGGCGCACGGGUGCGUAACGCGUGGGAAUCUGCCCUUUGCUUCGGAAUAACAGUUAGAAAUGACUGCUAAUACCGGAUGAUGUCGCAAGACCAAAGAUUUAUCGGCAAAGGAUGAGCCCGCGUAGGAUUAGCUAGUUGGUGGGGUAAAGGCCUACCAAGGCGACGAUCCUUAGCUGGUCUGAGAGGAUGAUCAGCCACACUGAGACUGAGACACGGCCCAGACUCCUACGGGAGGCAGCAGUGGGGAAUAUUGGACAAUGGGCGAAAGCCUGAUCCAGCAAUGCCGCGUGAGUGAUGAAGGCCUUAGGGUUGUAAAGCUCUUUUACCCGGGAUGAUAAUGACAGUACCGGGAGAAUAAGCUCCGGCUAACUCCGUG